rnacentral:tRNA from 1 species
GCCCGGAUGGCGAAACUGGUAGACGCAAGGGACUUAAAAUCCCUCGACCGAAAGGUUAUGCGGGUUCGAUUCCCGCUCCGGGCACCA